UACGGGGGGAGCAAGCGUUGUUCGGAUUUACUGGGCGUAAAGGGCGCGUAGGCGGCCACGACAAGUCACUUGUGAAAUCUCCGGGCUUAACUCGGAACGGUCAAGUGAUACUGUCGGGCUAGAGUGCGGAAGGGGCAACUGGAAUUCUCGGUGUAGCGGUGAAAUGCGUAGAUAUCAGGAGGAACACCUGCGGUGUAGACAGCUUUCUGGACCACUUCUGACGCUGAGACACGAAAGCGUGGGUAGCAAACAGG
rnacentral:rRNA from 1 species